rnacentral:rRNA from 1 species
AUUGAACGCUGGCGGCAGGCCUAACACAUGCAAGUCGAGCGGAUGACGGGAGCUUGCUCCUUGAUUCAGCGGCGGACGGGUGAGUAAUGCCUAGGAAUCUGCCUGGUAGUGGGGGACAACGUUUCGAAAGGAACGCUAAUACCGCAUACGUCCUACGGGAGAAAGCAGGGGACCUUCGGGCCUUGCGCUAUCAGAUGAGCCUAGGUCGGAUUAGCUAGUAGGUGAGGUAAUGGCUCACCUAGGCGACGAUCCGUAACUGGUCUGAGAGGAUGAUCAGUCACACUGGAACUGAGAAACGGUCCAGACUCCUACGGGAGGCAGCAGUGGGGAAUAUUGGACAAUGGGGGGAACCCUGAUCCAGCCAUGCCGCGUGUGUGAAGAAGGUCUUCGGAUUGUAAAGCACUUUAAGUCGGGAGGAUGGGCUGUAGGCUAAUACCUUGCAGUUUUGACGUUACCGACAGAAUAAGCACCGGCUAACUUCGUGCCAGCCGCCGCGGUAA